rnacentral:rRNA from 1 species
CCUACGGGUGGCAGCAGUGGGGGAUAUUGCACAAUGGGGGAAACCCUGAUGCAGCGACGCCGCGUGUGGGAAGACGGUCCUCUGGAUUGUAAACCACUGUCCCCAGGGACGAAGAUGACGGUACCUGGUGAGGAAGCUCCGGCUAACUACGUGCCAGCAGCCGCGGUAAUACGUAGGGAGCGAGCGUUGUCCGGAAUUACUGGGGGUAAAGGGACCGUAGGCGGGGAUGAAAGUUGGGUGUAAAGACUACCGGCUAAACUGGUAGUCGAACUCAAAACUGGAGCUCGUGAGUGAAGUAGAGGCAGGCGGAAUUCCUAGUGUAGCGGUGAAAUGCGUAGAUAUUAGGAGGAACACCAGUGGCGAAGGCGGCCUGCUGGGCUUUUACUGACGCUGAGGCUCGAAAGUGUGGGGAGCAAACAGGAUUAGAUACCCCAGUAGUC